ensembl:lncRNA
UUCAAACAGCGCUUAAACAUUCAGAGCACAGGAGAUAAUGCAGAACUGCAUACAUUUUUAAUGGACUGACAGCAUUUGGAUCAGAGGGAAUUAAUCCAUCGCUUUGUCGCGGGCCUAAUAUGGCCUGUUACCCAGCCAUUAUAAGUGGAGUGACUUUGACGAAUGGGGAAUGAGAAGGGAGAUAGUGUACACAGUCACCAGGAAGCAGACUGGGAGAAACAAGCUGGUGAUGACCCAGACGGCCUGUCAAUGUUGUGGGGAAAGAGCAUGGACAUGGACCCACAUGCUAGAAUGGAGGCAUGGAAGUAUUUCUCCAGUAUUUAUUUCUAGGCAGUACAGGAUCCUCUAAGCAGUUGUAACCCCACUGAGAAAGCUGUUACACUCCAACAGAACAAGCAGAUGAUCCUGGUAAGAUACUAUCUAUAUGUGUCAUAAAUGACUCAUUAAAAACAGAACUUCUUCUGUGUCCAUUGGGAUGGAGGGUUAGUUGUUUUUCUUCUUGAGGGAACAAAAGGAGUUAGAUCCAAUAAACAAGUCACAGACUGAAUGCCUGACUGCUUAGAAUGGAUUGACACCCCAGUGUUGGUGGCCACUGCAACUUCGACCUGUUAGGAAACAGAAGGGGACUCUGGUACGCUGUCAGGUCCUGGCUGGGGUGCCUCAGGGCCCCUCGAUGUGCCUGGAGGCCAGUCAGGGCCUGACCGAAGAUGUGCCUCUUGGCAUCUCUGCACUCCACAUUUGAUUGUCCCCAAUUAGAGGCAGCUGCCCUGAGUUGCCUCCAAUUGGGGACCCUAUUUAAGUUGCCCUUUUUGGCUUUUGGGUGUGGAUCAUUGUUUGUGUUAUGUGCCUCGGUUCAUGGCGUACCACGACUUUUGUGGUUUUUCUUCCUAUUCAGGUAAUAAUAAAAGGAUGUUACCCUUCUACUGCUCUGUGCCGUCUGUCCUUCCCCCCUUCAGUGUGACACACGAAAAGCUCCCCAGACUAUGAUAAUCAUAGCCUGUCCUGCUAUCCUCUGUUGAACCAAAGCACUUUAGGUGAACCUCAUAAUUGUAAUCUGUUUAAUCUUCUUUCCUGUUUGAUGCCAGUAUUGUGUUGAGAGUAAGCAAUUUCUAAAUGUUUCUGCUUAAAUGAGCUUAGUG